GGUUAAGCGACUAAGCGUACACGGUGGAUGCCCUGGCAGUCAGAGGCGAUGAAGGACGUGCUAAUCUGCGAUAAGCGUCGGUAAGGUGAUAUGAACCGUUAUAACCGGCGAUUUCCGAAUGGGGAAACCCAGUGUGAUUCGUCACACUAUCAUUAACUGAAUCCAUAGGUUAAUGAGGCGAACCGGGGGAACUGAAACAUCUAAGUACCCCGAGGAAAAGAAAUCAACCGAGAUUCCCCCAGUAGCGGCGAGCGAACGGGGAGCAGCCCAGAGCCUGAAUCAGUGUGUGUGUUAGUGGAAGCGUCUGGAAAGGCGCGCGAUACAGGGUGACAGCCCCGUACACAAAAAUGCACAUACUGUGAGCUCGAUGAGUAGGGCGGGACACGUGGUAUCCUGUCUGAAUAUGGGGGGACCAUCCUCCAAGGCUAAAUACUCCUGACUGACCGAUAGUGAACCAGUACCGUGAGGGAAAGGCGAAAAGAACCCCGGCGAGGGGAGUGAAAAAGAACCUGAAACCGUGUACGUACAAGCAGUGGGAGCACAGAGCAAUCUGUGUGACUGCGUACCUUUUGUAUAAUGGGUCAGCGACUUAUAUUCUGUAGCAAGGUUAACCGAAUAGGGGAGCCGAAGGGAAACCGAGUCUUAACUGGGCGUUAAGUUGCAGGGUAUAGACCCGAAACCCGGUGAUCUAGCCAUGGGCAGGUUGAAGGUUGGGUAACACUAACUGGAGGACCGAACCGACUAAUGUUGAAAAAUUAGCGGAUGACUUGUGGCUGGGGGUGAAAGGCCAAUCAAACCGGGAGAUAGCUGGUUCUCCCCGAAAGCUAUUUAGGUAGCGCCUCGUGAAUUCAUCUCCGGGGGUAGAGCACUGUUUCGGCAAGGGGGUCAUCCCGACUUACCAACCCGAUGCAAACUGCGAAUACCGGAGAAUGUUAUCACGGGAGACACACGGCGGGUGCUAACGUCCGUCGUGAAGAGGGAAACAACCCAGACCGCCAGCUAAGGUCCCAAAGUCAUGGUUAAGUGGGAAACGAUGUGGGAAGGCCCAGACAGCCAGGAUGUUGGCUUAGAAGCAGCCAUCAUUUAAAGAAAGCGUAAUAGCUCACUGGUCGAGUCGGCCUGCGCGGAAGAUGUAACGGGGCUAAACCAUGCACCGAAGCUGCGGCAGCGACGCUGAUGCGUUGUUGGGUAGGGGAGCGUUCUGUAAGCCUGUGAAGGUGUACUGUGAGGUAUGCUGGAGGUAUCAGAAGUGCGAAUGCUGACAUAAGUAACGAUAAAGCGGGUGAAAAGCCCGCUCGCCGGAAGACCAAGGGUUCCUGUCCAACGUUAAUCGGGGCAGGGUGAGUCGACCCCUAAGGCGAGGCCGAAAGGCGUAGUCGAUGGGAAACAGGUUAAUAUUCCUGUACUUGGUGUUACUGCGAAGGGGGGACGGAGAAGGCUAUGUUGGCCGGGCGACGGUUGUCCCGGUUUAAGCGUGUAGGCUGGUUUUCCAGGCAAAUCCGGAAAAUCAAGGCUGAGGCGUGAUGACGAGGCACUACGGUGCUGAAGCAACAAAUGCCCUGCUUCCAGGAAAAGCCUCUAAGCAUCAGGUAACAUCAAAUCGUACCCCAAACCGACACAGGUGGUCAGGUAGAGAAUACCAAGGCGCUUGAGAGAACUCGGGUGAAGGAACUAGGCAAAAUGGUGCCGUAACUUCGGGAGAAGGCACGCUGAUAUGUAGGUGAAGCGACUUGCUCGUGGAGCUGAAAUCAGUCGAAGAUACCAGCUGGCUGCAACUGUUUAUUAAAAACACAGCACUGUGCAAACACGAAAGUGGACGUAUACGGUGUGACGCCUGCCCGGUGCCGGAAGGUUAAUUGAUGGGGUUAGCGCAAGCGAAGCUCUUGAUCGAAGCCCCGGUAAACGGCGGCCGUAACUAUAACGGUCCUAAGGUAGCGAAAUUCCUUGUCGGGUAAGUUCCGACCUGCACGAAUGGCGUAAUGAUGGCCAGGCUGUCUCCACCCGAGACUCAGUGAAAUUGAACUCGCUGUGAAGAUGCAGUGUACCCGCGGCAAGACGGAAAGACCCCGUGAACCUUUACUAUAGCUUGACACUGAACAUUGAGCCUUGAUGUGUAGGAUAGGUGGGAGGCUUUGAAGUGUGGACGCCAGUCUGCAUGGAGCCGACCUUGAAAUACCACCCUUUAAUGUUUGAUGUUCUAACGUUGACCCGUAAUCCGGGUUGCGGACAGUGUCUGGUGGGUAGUUUGACUGGGGCGGUCUCCUCCUAAAGAGUAACGGAGGAGCACGAAGGUUGGCUAAUCCUGGUCGGACAUCAGGAGGUUAGUGCAAUGGCAUAAGCCAGCUUGACUGCGAGCGUGACGGCGCGAGCAGGUGCGAAAGCAGGUCAUAGUGAUCCGGUGGUUCUGAAUGGAAGGGCCAUCGCUCAACGGAUAAAAGGUACUCCGGGGAUAACAGGCUGAUACCGCCCAAGAGUUCAUAUCGACGGCGGUGUUUGGCACCUCGAUGUCGGCUCAUCACAUCCUGGGGCUGAAGUAGGUCCCAAGGGUAUGGCUGUUCGCCAUUUAAAGUGGUACGCGAGCUGGGUUUAGAACGUCGUGAGACAGUUCGGUCCCUAUCUGCCGUGGGCGCUGGAGAACUGAGGGGGGCUGCUCCUAGUACGAGAGGACCGGAGUGGACGCAUCACUGGUGUUCGGGUUGUCAUGCCAAUGGCACUGCCCGGUAGCUAAAUGCGGAAGAGAUAAGUGCUGAAAGCAUCUAAGCACGAAACUUGCCCCGAGAUGAGUUCUCCCUGACUCCUUGAGAGUCCUGAAGGAACGUUGAAGACGACGACGUUGAUAGGCCGGAUGUGUAAGCGCAGCGAUGCGUUGAGCUAACCGGUACUAAUGAACCGUGAGGCUUAACCUU
rnacentral:rRNA from 1 species